CGGGACGGGUGAGUAACGCGUGGGUAACCUGCCUUAUACAGGGGGAUAACAGUUGGAAACGGCUGCUAAUACCGCAUAAGCGCACGGCAUCGCAUGAUGCAGUGUGAAAAACUCCGGUGGUAUAAGGUGGACCCGCGUUGGAUUAGCUAGUUGGUGAGGUAACGGCCCACCAAGGCGACGAUCCAUAGCCGACCUGAGAGGGUGACCGGCCACAUUGGGACUGAGACACGGCCCAA
rnacentral:rRNA from 1 species